rnacentral:rRNA from 1 species
CCUACGGGUGGCAGCAGUGAGGAAUAUUGGUCAAUGGCCGAGAGGCUGAACCAGCCAAGUCGCGUGAGGGAUGACGGCCCUACGGGUUGUAAACCUCUUUUGUCGGGGAGCAAAGAGAGUCACGUGUGGCACAUUGAGAGUACCCGAAGAAAAAGCAUCGGCAAACUCCGUUCCAGCAGCCGCGGUAAUACGGAGGAUGCGAGCGUUAUCCGGAUUUAGUGGGUUUAAAGGGUGAGCAGGCGGAGGUGCAAGUUAGUGGGCAAAUUGCGGGGCUCAACCCCGUACUGCCGUUGAAACUGCAUCCCUUGAGUGCGCGAGAAGUAUGCGGAAUGCGUGGUGUAGCGGUGACAUGCAUAGAUAUCACGCAGAACUCCGAUUGCGAAGGCAGCAUACCGGCGCGCAACUGACGCUCAUGCACGAAAGCGUGGGUAUCGAACAGGAUUAGAUACCCCUGUAGUC